GAUGAACGCUGGCGGCGUGCUUAACACAUGCAAGUCGAACGGAAAGGCCGAAGCUUGCUUCGGUACUCGAGUGGCGAACGGGUGAGUAACACGUGGGUGAUCUGCCCUGUACUUCGGGAUAAGCUUGGGAAACUGGGUCUAAUACCGGAUAUGACGAUCUCUUGGAUGGGGUUGUGGAAAGCUUUUGCGGUAUGGGAUGAGCUCGCGGCCUAUCAGCUUGUUGGUGGGGUAAUGGCCUACCAAGGCGUCGACGGGUAGCCGGCCUGAGAGGGUGUACGGCCACAUUGGGACUGAGAUACGGGCCAGACUCCUACGGGAGGCAGCAGUGGGGAAUAUUGCACAAUGGGCGCGAGCCUGAGGCAGCGACGCCGCGUGGGGGAUGACGGCCUUCGGGUUGUAAACUCCUUUCGCAAUCGACGAAGCCUUUUGGUGACGGUAGGUGGAGAAGAAGCACCGGCUAACUACGUG
rnacentral:rRNA from 1 species